UAAAAGGCGUCAAAGCCCACUAUUACACACCUAAUUAAUUUCUCGCAAACACAUCAACCCUUCUCCCCUAUUGAAUGAAUUUAUAAAUUUAUAAAAGCCACUAUGCUUAAACUAGUAACAAGAAUAUGAAAUUCUCCUUAAUGUAAGCCUAAGCCGCAAUGGACUCUCCAACGGCAAUUAAAGUUGAUAAGCCUAUUAUAAUAACUAUCAUAAAAAACUUAUACUAACAAACGUUAAUCUAACACAAGAACAUUCUAGGAAAGAUAAAAAGGGGGAGAAGGAACUCGGCAAAUUUUAAUCCCGCCUGUUUACCAAAAACAUCGCCUCUUGUUAAAUUAUAAGAGGUCUAGCCUGCCCAAUGACUUCUUAAAUGGCCGCGGUAUCCUAACCGUGCUAAGGUAGCACAAUAACUUGUUCUUUAAAUGAGGACUUGUAUGAAUGGCAUCACGAGAAUUAUACUGUCUCCUCCCCCCCAUCAGUGAAACUGACCUCCCCGUGAAAAGGCGGGAAUUAUACUAUAAGACGAGAAGACCCCAUGGAGCUUCAGACUUAGGGCACAUCUAACCCCCCCCACUCCAUUAAAACCUUAGAUCUCUGACCCUCGGUCUUAGGUUGGGGCGACCAUGGAGUAUAACUAACCCUCCAUGCUGAACGGACAAAUCCUAAUCUAAGAGUCACAGCUCUAAGAAUCAAAAAACUGACAACUACUGAUCCGAAAUUCGAUCAACGAACCAAGUUACCCUGGGGAUAACAGCGCCAUCUACCUCGAGAGUUCAUAUCGACAGGUGGGUUUACGACCUCGAUGUUGGAUCGGGGUAUCCUUGUGGUGCAGCCGCUACAUAAGGUUCGUUGU
rnacentral:rRNA from 1 species